rnacentral:rRNA from 1 species
AGUGAACGCUGGCGGUAGGCCUAACACAUGCAAGUCGAACGGAAGCACAGUAAGAGCUUGCUCUUACGGGUGGCGAGUGGCGGACGGGUGAGGUAUACAUCGUAAUCUACUUUUUCGUGGGGGAUAACGUAGGGAAACUUACGCUAAUACCGCAUACGACCUACGGGUGAAAGCAGGGGAUCUUCGGACCUUGCGCGAUUGAAUGAGCCGAUGUCGGAGUAGCUAGUUGGCGGGGUAAAGGCCAACCAAGGCGACGAUCCGUAGCUGGUCUGAGAGGAUGGUCAGCCACACUGGAACUUAGACACGGUCCAUACUCCUACGGGAGGCAGCAGUGGGGAAUAUUAGACAAUGGUCGCAAGCCUGAUCCAGCCAGACCGCGUGGGUGAAGAAGGCCUUCGGUUUGGAAAGCCCGUUUGUUGGGAAAAAAAAGCAGCAGGUUAAUACCACGCUGUUCUGACGGUACCCAAAGAAUAAGCACCGGCUAACUUCGUG